ACGCUGGCGGCAGGCCUAACACAUGCAAGUCGAGCGGAAACGACACUAACAAUCCUUCGGGUGCGUUAAUGGGCGUCGAGCGGCGGACGGGUGAGUAAUGCCUAGGAAAUUGCCUUGAUGUGGGGGAUAACCAUUGGAAACGAUGGCUAAUACCGCAUAAUGCCUACGGGCCAAAGAGGGGGAYCUUCGGRCCUCUCGCGUCAAGAUAUGCCUAGGUGGGAUUAGCUAGUUGGUGAGGUAAUGGCUCACCAAGGCGACGAUCCCUAGCUGGUCUGAGAGGAUGAUCAGCCACACUGGAACUGAGACACGGUCCAGACUCCUACGGGAGGCAGCAGUGGGGAAUAUUGCACAAUGGGCGCAAGCCUGAUGCAGCCAUGCCGCGUGUAUGAAGAAGGCCUUCGGGUUGUAAAGUACUUUCAGUUGUGAGGAAGGGUGUGUAGUUAAUAGCUGCGCAUCUUGACGUUAGCAACAGAAGAAGCACCGGCUAACUCCGUGCCAGCAGCCGCGGUAAUACGGAGGGUGCGAGCGUUAAUCGGAAUUACUGGGCGUAAAGCGCAUGCAGGUGGUUCAUUAAGUCAGAUGUGAAAGCCCGGGGCUCAACCUCGGAACUGCAUUUGAAACUGGUGAACUAGAGUGCUGUAGAGGGGGGUAGAAUUUCAGGUGUAGCGGUGAAAUGCGUAGAGAUCUGAAGGAAUACCAGUGGCGAAGGCGGCCCCCUGGACA
rnacentral:rRNA from 1 species